rnacentral:rRNA from 1 species
GACGAACGCUGGCGGCGUGCCUAAUACAUGCAAGUAGAACGCAGUUGCGAACGGGUGAGUAACGCGUAGGUAACUGCCUCAUAGCGGGGGAUAACUAUUGGAAACGAUAGCUAAUACCGCAUACUGUGAGAUGGACCUGCGUUGUAUUAGCUAGUUGGUGAGGUAAAGGCUCACCAAGGCGACGAUACAUAGCCGACCUGAGAGGGGGAUGCGGCAACAUGGGACUGGGAACCGGGCCAGAAUCCCUAGGGAGGGAACAAUAAGGGAAUUUUGGUAAAGGACGGAAGGCUGAACGGGCAAAGGCGCGUGGGUGAAGAAGGUUUUCGGGUCGGAAAGCUCCGUUGUUAGGGAAGCGGGAAAUAACCAGAAAGGGAAGGCUAACUUCGUGCCAGCCGCCGCGGUUAAUC